rnacentral:tRNA from 1 species
GGAGGGGUGCGAGAGCGGCCGAAUCGGGCAGUCUCGAAAACUGCUGUGUCCAUUGGGCACCGUGGGUUCAAAUCCCACCUCCUCCGCCA